rnacentral:sRNA from 1 species
UCAAAGGGAAAGGAAUAUUGAAGACUGGGCAUGGAUAAACGUUAAGAGCAAUAUUCUAAUGGU